AAAUGCCCUGCUUCCAGGAAAAGCCUCUAAGCAUCAGGUAACAUCAAAUCGUACCCCAAACCGACACAGGUGGUCAGGUAGAGAAUACCAAGGCGCUUGAGAGAACUCGGGUGAAGGAACUAGGCAAAAUGGUGCCGUAACUUCGGGAGAAGGCACGCUGAUAUGUAGGUGAAGCGACUUGCUCGUGGAGCUGAAAUCAGUCGAAGAUACCAGCUGGCUGCAACUGUUUAUUAAAAACACAGCACUGUGCAAACACGAAAGUGGACGUAUACGGUGUGACGCCUGCCCGGUGCCGGAAGGUUAAUUGAUGGGGUUAGCGGCAACGCGAAGCUCUUGAUCGAAGCCCCGGUAAACGGCGGCCGUAACUAUAACGGUCCUAAGGUAGCGAAAUUCCUUGUCGGGUAAGUUCCGACCUGCACGAAUGGCGUAAUGAUGGCCAGGCUGUCUCCACCCGAGACUCAGUGAAAUUGAACUCGCUGUGAAGAUGCAGUGUACCCGCGGCAAGACGGAAAGACCCCGUGAACCUUUACUAUAGCUUGACACUGAACAUUGAGCCUUGAUGUGUAGGAUAGGUGGGAGGCUUUGAAGUGUGGACGCCAGUCUGCAUGGAGCCGACCUUGAAAUACCACCCUUUAAUGUUUGAUGUUCUAACGUUGGCCCGUAAUCCGGGUUGCGGACAGUGUCUGGUGGGUAGUUUGACUGGGGCGGUCUCCUCCUAAAGAGUAACGGAGGAGCACGAAGGUUGGCUAAUCCUGGUCGGACAUCAGGAGGUUAGUGCAAUGGCAUAAGCCAGCUUGACUGCGAGCGUGACGGCGCGAGCAGGUGCGAAAGCAGGUCAUAGUGAUCCGGUGGUUCUGAAUGGAAGGGCCAUCGCUCAACGGAUAAAAGGUACUCCGGGGAUAACAGGCUGAUACCGCCCAAGAGUUCAUAUCGACGGCGGUGUUUGGCACCUCGAUGUCGGCUCAUCACAUCCUGGGGCUGAAGUAGGUCCCAAGGGUAUGGCUGUUCGCCAUUUAAAGUGGUACGCGAGCUGGGUUUAGAACGUCGUGAGACAGUUCGGUCCCUAUCUGCCGUGGGCGCUGGAGAACUGAGGGGGGCUGCUCCUAGUACGAGAGGACCGGAGUGGACGCAUCACUGGUGUUCGGGUUGUCAUGCCAAUGGCACUGCCCGGUAGCUAAAUGCGGAAGAGAUAAGUGCUGAAAGCAUCUAAGCACGAAACUUGCCCCGAGAUGAGUUCUCCCUGAGACUUAGAGUCUCCUGAAGGAACGUUGAAGACGACGACGUUGAUAGGCCGGGUGUGUAAGCGCAGCGAUGCGUUGAGCUAACCGGUACUAAUGAACCGUGAGGCUUAACCUU
rnacentral:rRNA from 1 species